CAAUAGCGUAUAUUAAAGUUGUUGCGGUAAAAAAGCUCGUAGUUGGAUUUCUGUUGAGAGCGACCGGUCCAUACCAUGUAUGCGUAUCUGGCUUGCUCUCGGCAUCCUCUCGAUAGACGUUACUGCGCUUGAUUGCGUGGUGCGGAUCUCGGGACUUUUACUUUGAGGAAAUUAGAGUGUUCACGGCAGGCUUUCGCCAGAAUACAUUAGCAUGGAAUAAUACUAUAGGAUCUUGGUUCUAUUUUGUUGGUUUCUAGAAUUGAGAUAAUGAUUAAUAGGGACAAUUGGGGGCAUUCGUAUCAACACGUCAGAGGUGGAAUUCUUGGAUUGUGUUGCGACGAACUACUGCGAAAGCAUUGCCAAGGAUGUUUUCAUUGA
rnacentral:rRNA from 1 species